AGGGAUGUAGCGCAGCUUGGUAGCGCGUUUGUUUUGGGUACAAAAUCUCACGGAUCCUGUCAUCCCUA
rnacentral:tRNA from 1 species